CACGUAGGGUGCGAGCGUUGUCCGGAAUUAUUGGGCGUAAAGAGCUCGUAGGCGGUGUGUCGCGUCGGCCGUGAAAACCUGGGGCUUAACUCUGGGCUUGCGGUCGAUACGGGCAUCACUGGAGUUCGGCAGGGGAGACUGGAAUUCCUGGUGUAGCGGUGAAAUGCGCAGAUAUCAGGAAGAACACCCGUGGCGAAAGCGGCUCUCUGGAACGGUACUGACGCUGAGACGCGAAAGCGUGGGGAGCGAACAGG
rnacentral:rRNA from 1 species